AGCGAACGCUGGCGGCAGGCCUAACACAUGCAAGUCGAACGAAGUCUUCGGACUUAGUGGCGGACGGGUGAGUAACACGUGGGAACGUGCCUUUAGGUUCGGAAUAACUCAGGGAAACUUGUGCUAAUACCGAAUGUGCCCUUCGGGGGAAAGAUUUAUCGCCUUUAGAGCGGCCCGCGUCUGAUUAGCUAGUUGGUGAGGUAAAGGCUCACCAAGGCGACGAUCAGUAGCUGGUCUGAGAGGAUGAUCAGCCACAUUGGGACUGAGACACGGCCCAAGCUCCUACGGGAGGCAGCAGUGGGGAAUCUUGCGCAAUGGGCGAAAGCCUGACGCAGCCAUGCCGCGUGAAUGAUGAAGGUCUUAGGAUUGCAAAAUUCUUUCACCGGGGACGAUAAUGACGGUACCCGGAGAAGAAGCCCCGGCUAACUUCGUGCCAGCCGCCGCCGUAAGAC
rnacentral:rRNA from 1 species